rnacentral:rRNA from 1 species
CACGGAGUUAGCCGGUGCUUCCUCUGAGGGUACCGUCCUUCCACGCAGGCAUUCCCUCCCCGUGGCUUUCGUCCCCUCUGACAGCGGUUUACACCCCGAAGGGCUUCCUCCCGCACGCGGCGUCGCUGCGUCAGCCCUUCGGCCAUUGCGCAAGAUUCCCCA